CUGACACAGGGAGGUAGUGACAAUAAAUAACAAUGCCGGGCCUUUUUAGGUCUGGCAAUUGGAAUGAGAACAAUUUAAAUCCCUUAUCGAGGAUCAAUUGGAGGGCAAGUCUGGUGCCAGCAGCCGCGGUAAUUCCAGCUCCAAAAGCGUAUAUUAAUGUUGUUGCAGUUAAAAAGCUCGUAGUUGGAUUUCUGGUGGGAACGUUUGGCCGGCCGUAAAGGUCUGCGCUGAAAUGUUUUUCGCCAUCCUUGGCGAAUACUUGUCCGCCAUUAAGUUGUGUGGGCUUGGAGUCGUCAUCGUUUACUGUGAAAAAAUUGAGUGUUCAAAGCAGGCAUCCGCCGAUGAAUACAUUAGCAUGGAAUAAUAAGAUAGGACUUUGGGUACUAUUUUGUUGGUUUGCGUACCUAGGUAAUGAUUAAUAGGGACAGUU
rnacentral:rRNA from 1 species